GUCCACGCCGUAAACGAUGGAUACUAGCUGUUCGGGACCUUGAGUUCUGAGCGGCUAAGCGAAAGUGAUAAGUAUCCCACCUGGGGAGUACGUUCGCAAGAAUGAAACUCAAAGGAAUUGACGGGGGCCCGCACAAGCGGUGGAGCAUGUGGUUUAAUUCGAUGAUACGCGAGGAACCUUACCAGGGCUUAAAUGUAGUCUGACAGCUUUAGAGAUAGAGUUUUCUUCGGACAGAUUACAAGGUGCUGCAUGGUU
rnacentral:rRNA from 1 species